rnacentral:lncRNA from 1 species
UUUUUUUUUUUUUUUUUUUUGAGAUGGAGUCUUGCUCUUUCACCCAGGCUGCAGUGCAGUGGUGCGAUCUUGGCUCACUGCAAGCUCCGCCUUCCAGGUUCAUGCCAUUCUCCUGCCUCAGCCUCCCGAGUAGCUGGGAUUACAGGCGUGAGCCACCGCACCCGGCCUGUUUAAAAAAUUUUAAAACCACAUGUACAUGUGGGUUUAUGCACGUAUCUAUCAAUCUACACAUAUACAAAGCUUGGGAAAGCAUAAGUUAUUCUACCACACUGUUAAUAUAAAUUAUAUCAAGGGAUGCGAUGUGUUUCUGGUUUGAAUUGUUACAAUGAGCAUAUAUUACUAUUAAAUAAAGUACAUGGGAGGCCAUUGUUUUGGACCAGCCUUCUGCGCUAGGCCCCAGCAGACCAAACCAGAAGUCUUGUGCUAAGGGCCACAUGAGCAUACCAAACUUUGAAACAGGCCAGUUUAAAAACAAAACAACAAAAAUAGAAAAUUCUAGUUAAUCCAUCAGCAUGAGAAGAAAGUUCUAUUUUAGCCUUGUAAGAAAAGUAACUUUGAAAUAACCAAUCCACUUUUUGUUCUGUUUUUGCUUUUUUCAGCCUUUUCCUGCCUAUAAAGCCAGCCUCUUCUGCUGAACUCAACAGACCAUUCAAUUUUAUAGAAUAAGGCGUUGCCUGAUUCUAGAACCACAAUACAAGCCAAUUCGAUCUUUACAUUUGUUGUAAUCUUGUCUUCUGACAUUACUUCUACAAUGAAAUAGAAACACCAUAUUUUUGAGGGAGAAAAACAUCUUUAAAAAUUAUCUAAAUACAGAUUGAUGAAAGUCAUAUCAUUGUAAUCGCAGAGUUUUAGGGUAUGCAUGUGUGUAGUUUUGUUAUAGGCUUCUACAGUCUUGUAUCAGAUAGGUGAUGUGGUCUGGCUCUGUGUCUCCACCCAAAUCUCAUGUUGAAUUGUAAUCUUUGGUGUUGGAGGAGGGACCUGGUGGGAAGUGACUGAAUCAUGGGGGUGGACUUCCCCCUUGCUGUUUUUGUGAUAGAGUUCUCCCAAGAUCUGGUUGUUUGAAAUUGUGUAGUACCUCCGUGCUUUCUCUCUCUCUCUCUCUCUCUCUCCCUCUCCCUUUCUCUCUCUUUCUCUCUCUCUCUCUCUGCCCCCCGCCUCCUCUGUCUCUCCCUCCCUCUCCCUUUCUCUGUCUCUCCCUCUCCCCAUCUCUCCCUCCCUCCCUCCUGCUCUGGCCAUGUAAGAUGU